GACGAACGCUGGCGGCGUGCUUAACACAUGCAAGUCGAACGGAAAGGCCCUGCUUUUGUGGGGUGCUCGUGUGGCGAACGGGUGAGUAACCCGUGAGUAACCUGCCCUUUACUUUGGGAUAACUUCAGGAAACUGGGGCUAAUACCGGAUAGGAGCUCCUGCUGCAUGGUGGGGGUUGGAAAGUUUCGGCGGUUGGGGAUGGAUUCGCGGCUUAUCAGCUUGUUGGUGGGGUAGUGGCUUACCAAGGCUUUGACGGGUAGCCGGCCUGAGAGGGUGACCGGCCACAAUGGGACUGAGAUACGGACCAGACUCCUACGGGAGGCAGCAGUGGGGAAUAUUGCACAAUGGGGGGAAGUCUGAUGCAGCAACGCCGCGUGCGGGAUGACGGCCUUCGGGUUGUAAACCGCUUUCGCCUGAGACGAAGCGUGAGUGACGGUAAUGGGUAAAGAAGCACCGGCUAACUACGUG
rnacentral:rRNA from 1 species